GUAGGGAUCCCUGGGUGGCUUCCCGUUGACAUGGACUAACAAUACCUCCCUUUGUCUACCCUGGAGACGCGGAGACAUGCUGGCGGGCCCUGUGGAAGAAGAGUGGUCCAGGACGGGGAACCUGCGCACGGAUCACCAGAGGUGCUGAGGCCUAGCUAGGCUUCCUGUUGACAUGGAGAAGAAGACCUUCCUUUGCUUUCCAUUGUGGUGUGGAGAGAUGCUGGCGGGCCCUGUGGAAGAAGAGUGGUCCAGGACGGGGAACCUGCGCACGGAUCACCAGAGGUGCUGAGGCCUAGCUAGGCUUCCUGUUGACAUGGAGAAGACGACCUUCCUUUGUUUUCCAUGGUGGUGUGGAGAGAUGCUGGCGGGCCCUGUGGAAGAAGAGUGGUCCAGGCCGGGGAACUUGCGCACGGAUCACCAGAGGUAAGCUUU
rnacentral:lncRNA from 12 species